AGCGAACGCUGGCGGCAGGCCUAACACAUGCAAGUCGAACGAACUCUUCGGAGUUAGUGGCGGACGGGUAAGUAACACGUGGGAACGUGCCUUUUGGUUCGGAAUAACUCAGGGAAACUUGUGCUAAUACCGAAUGUGCCCUUCGGGGGAAAGAUUUAUCGCCAUUAGAGCGGCCCGCGUCUGAUUAGCUAGUUGGUGAGGUAACGGCUCACCAAGGCGACGAUCAGUAGCUGGUCUGAGAGGAUGACCAGCCACACUGGGACUGAGACACGGCCCAGACUCCUACGGGAGGCAGCAGUGGGGAAUCUUGCGCAAUGGGCGAAAGCCUGACGCAGCCAUGCCGCGUGAAUGAUGAAGGUCUUAGGAUUGUAAAAUUCUUUCACCGGGGACGAUAAUGACGGUACCCGGAGAAGAAGCCCCGGCUAACUUCGUG
rnacentral:rRNA from 1 species